rnacentral:rRNA from 1 species
UGAAUACGAGAUGCUACGGCGUCGAAGCAGUGUAUGUCAGACUUCCAAGAAAAGCUCGCAAUGUCAUAAAUAAAGAAUGCCUGUACCAUAACCGACACAGGUGGGUAGGUAGAGUAUACUAAGGGGCGCGAGAUAACUCUCUCUAAGGAACUCGGCAAAAUAACUCCGUAACUUCGGGAGAAGGAGUGCCUUCUAUUAGAAGGUUGCAAUAACAAGAUCCAAGCAACUGUUUAUCAAAAACACAGGUCUCCGCUAAGUCGUAAGACGAUGUAUGGGGGCUGACGCCUGCCCAGUGCCAGAAGGUUAAAGAAGUUGGUUAGCUUUGGCGAAGCUGAUGACUGAAGCCCUGGUGAACGGCGGCCGUAACGAUAACGGUCCUAAGGUAGCGAAAUUCCUUGUCGGGUAAGUUCCGACCCGCACGAAAGGCGUAAUGAUUUGGAUACUGUCUCGGAGAGGGACUCGGUGAAAUAGACUUGUCUGUGAAGAUGCGGACUACCUGCACCAGGACAGAAAGACCCUAUGAAGCUUUACUGUAACUUGAAAUUGAAAUUGGACUUUAUUUGCGCAGCAUAGGUGGAAGGCGUUGAGAUUACUCUUGCGGGAGUACUGGAGCCAUCAGUGAGAUACCACUCCUAUAAUGUUAGAUUUCUAACUUUGGAUCAUGAUCUGGUCAAAGAACAGUUUCAGGCGGGCAGUUUGACUGGGGCGGUCGCCUCCCAAAUGGUAACGGAGGCGUACAGAGGUUUCCUCUGAACGGGUAGAAAUCGUAUCUAGAGUGUAAAGGCAUAAGGAAGCUUGACUGUGAGACCUACAAGUCGAGCAGGGACGAAAGUCGGUCUUAGUGAUCUGACGGUGCUGAGUGGAAAGGCCGUCACUCAACGGAUAAAAGUUACUCUAGGAUAACAGGCUGAUCUCCCCCAAGAGUUCACAUCGACGGGGAGGUUUGGCACCUCGAUGUCGGCUCAUCGCAUCCUGGGGCGGUAGUACGUCCCAAGGGUUGGGCUGUUCGCCCAUGAAAGCGGUACGCGAGCUGGGUUCAGAACGUCGUGAGACAGUUCGGUCCAUAUCCGGUGUAGGCGUUAGAAUAUUGAGAGGAGCCUUCUUUAGUACGAGAGGACCGAGAAGGACAUACCUCUGGUGUACCAGUUAUCGUGCCAACGGUAAACGCUGGGUAGCUAUGUAUGGAGAGGAUAACCGCUGAAAGCAUCUAAGUGGGAAGCCCACCUCAAGAUGAG